rnacentral:misc_RNA from 1 species
UUCUCUAUGGCUGGCACUUCAUUAGGAAUGAGCUCCGCAAUGGCCUUCCAAUAAUUAUUAUCUGCCUCAGCAUGGAAUCUCUCCCGGUUGGCAACAAAUACCUGAAAAAGAUGAAGACAAAAUCAUAAGAGUAUAUGCUUCAUUGUUCAAUCUACAAUCAGAUGUCUGAAAUAGAACUUGCUGUUAAAAUACACAUUUUUGGUAAGGCUACCCUUGCAAAAAGCAAUUUACUGCCCAGAAAAAAAUAUUAUCUAACCAGCUGCCGAAAUAACAUCCCAGCUAGCUAUUCAACUUCCAGAAUUCAUGUUCGUCAAAAAUUUAGGUUUUAGCAUAAAGGUCUCAAACAUUUCCCUUCCUCAGUAUGCGUCACAUGGUUGUGCAGCUUUCCUUCUAAAGUCAUGGGAAUGUCAAAUUUAAAAAAAAAAAAAGAAAAGA